rnacentral:rRNA from 1 species
CAUGAAGCUGGAAUCGCUAGUAAUCGCGAAUCAGCAUGUCGCGGUGAAUACGUUCCCGGGUCUUGUACACACCGCCCGUCACACCAUGGGAGUCGGAAAUGCCCGAAGCCAGUGACCCAACCUUUAAGGAGGGAGCUGUCGAAGGCAGGUCUGGUAACUGGGGUGAAGUCGUAACAAGGUAUC